rnacentral:lncRNA from 1 species
UGUGUAAUGCAGUUUUCAGAAACUGCCUUGUUACUCAGUGACAACUCUGAUUUUACUUUGUUGUUCUGAGUAAUAUCUGACGAUGCCUCCAGAAGCGCUCCCAGUGGCACUAACAUAGAUUUGAACGCAAGUUCAUGACUUGAAUUCAGCUACUGACAGCCUCAUCAGUAUUUGCUGACAUGUAGUAGGGCAGGUGUGGUGUUUGUUUGGUCCUCAGUUUUUUCUGUUUGUGGAACACAAAUAAUAAUGCUGUCAUUUUCGGGGGUGUGGUGGUUCUUGGGAUCUAACUCAGGGCCUCAUGCAAAUUGUGCAAGUGUUCUUGACUGAGCUGAACUCCAUCUGGUCAAUGUUUUUGAGAGCUGCUUUGAGAAUUGGAUCAGAGGGUAUAACAGUGUCUGUCUGCACAAGUCUGGUGGAUUGAGAGUUCUUCUGCAAGUGAGUGCUGGUAGGCUUUGAUUGGAAAUGACUGAAGUUAUUGAUAAGCCACGGGCCAGUGCUACUUCCUUUAGAAACAAACUAGGAAGCCAAGACUUGAAAAUUUGUGGGUUUUUUUUUUUUUUUUUUUUUUGCUUCCUAGGAUGAUGGUUUAGAAAAAAGUCCAACGAAAAAAAAGCAGAAGAAGAAAGAGAACAAAGAGAACAAAGAGAAACCAGUGAGUUCUCGGAAGGACAGAGAAGGAGACAAAGAAAAGAAGAAGUCCAAGGACAAGAAAGAAAAGGUUAAAGGUGGUGAUGCCAAGUCUUCAAGUAAAUCAAAGCGAUCUCAGGGUCCUGUCCACAUUACAGCAGGAAGUGAGCCUGUUCCCAUUGGGGAGGAUGAAGAUGAUGAUCUGGACCAGGAAACCUUCAGCAUUUGUAAGGAGAGGAUGAGGCCUGUGAAGAAGGCACUGAAACAGUUGGACAAACCCGACAAGGGACUCAAUGUGCAAGAACAGCUGGAACACACCAGGAGCUGCCUGCUGAAGAUUGGAGACCGCAUAGCUGAGUGCCUUAGAGCUUAUUCAGAGCAGGAGCACAUCAAAUUGUGGAGGAGGAACCUAUGGAUUUUUGUUUCCAAGUUUACAGAAUUUGAUGCACGGAAACUACAUAAGUUAUAUAAGAUGGCUCAUAAGAAAAGAUCUCAAGAAGAGGAGGAACAAAAGAAGAAAGAUGAUACGCUUGGUGGUAAGAAACCAUUUCGACCAGAGGCCUCGGGCUCCAGCCGGGACUCUCUGAUAUCUCAGUCCCAUGCCUCACACAACCUUCAUCCUCAGAAGCCUCAUUUGCCUGCCUCCCAUGGCCCACAGAUGCAUGGACAUCCAAGAGAUACCUACAGUCACCCCAACAAGAGACACUUUAG